UACAGAGGGUGCGAGCGUUGUUCGGAAUUACUGGGCGUAAAGCGCGCGCAGGCGGCUUUUUAAGUCCAUCGGUGAAAUGCCGGGGCUCAACCCCGUGCCUGCCGAGGAUACUGGAAGGCUGGAGACACGUAGAGGCAAGCGGAAUUCCGGGUGUAGCGGUGGAAUGCGUAGAGAUCCGGAAGAACACCGGAGGCGAAGGCGGCUCACUGGCCCGAUACUGACGCUGAGGCACGAAAGCGUGGGGAGCAAACAGG
rnacentral:rRNA from 1 species